rnacentral:misc_RNA from 1 species
UUUCCGUUGGUGAACCAGCGGAGGGAUCAUUACCGAGGUUUUCUACUCCCAAACCCCUGUGGACUUAUACUUUUACUGUUGCUUCGGCGGGUUAACGCCCCGGAAGGCCCAAAAAGCCACCGGAACCAGGCGCCCGUCGGGGCACCCAAACUCUUGUAUUUCUUACUAUGCAUGUCUGAGUGGAAUCAUAAACAAAUGAAUCAAAACUUUCAACAACGGAUCUCUUGGUUCUG